rnacentral:lncRNA from 1 species
GGUUACUACUGCUAGUGAUGCUAAGAGCACUACAUACAAGAAGAAUAGAUACUAACAGUAACUAUGUAUGAUGAAUUACAUUCCAUUGUUAGGUUAAUGACAUUAAGAGGAUAAGUACAAUUCUCUGCUAUUGAAGACUACAUUGAGAAGUUAAUUGUUUGCUGUUUGAAGCUGUGCAUUAACUGAAGACUAUAAAGAAUU